GACGAACGCUGGCGGCGUGCUUAACACAUGCAAGUCGAACGGAAAGGCCCUGCUUUUGUGGGGUGCUCGAGUGGCGAACGGGUGAGUAACACGUGAGCAACCUGCCCUUGACUUUGGGAUAACUUCAGGAAACUGGGGCUAAUACCGGAUAGGAGCUCCUGCUGCAUGGUGGGGGUUGGAAAGUUUCGGCGGUUGGGGAUGGACUCGCGGCUUAUCAGCUUGUUGGUGGGGUAGUGGCUUACCAAGGCUUUGACGGGUAGCCGGCCUGAGAGGGUGACCGGCCACAUUGGGACUGAGAUACGGCCCAGACUCCUACGGGAGGCAGCAGUGGGGAAUAUUGCACAAUGGGCGGAAGCCCGAUGCAGCAACGCCGCGUGCGGGAUGACGGCCUUCGGGUUGUAAACCGCUUUCGCCUGUGACGAAGCGUGAGUGACGGUAAUGGGUAAAGAAGCACCGGCUAACUACGUG
rnacentral:rRNA from 1 species